AGACCUCUUCUCUUUCUUCUCUCUCCCCUCCCAAACUCUUCUCCAAAAGCUCCAAUCUCAGAGGCUUCUCUUCCUCAAUUUUCGAUUCUGCUCUCGAGAUUGGCGUCAAGAUUCGAUUUUUAAAAUCAUAUCUCGGUGUUGUUGAUGGGGCGGGAGGUGUUGGUGGUGCUGGCGGAGGUGGUGGAGGAGGGGUGCACGACGCCGACGGCGGCAGAGUACCGAAUACCGGAGGCGGUAGCGUGCCCGCCAGCGCCGAGGAAGCCGAGGAGGAGUCCUGUACCGGGCGGCACUCCACCGGUGGGCGGCAAGAAGUUCUUCGUCCCCCCGAAUCUGGAGGAGGUCUUCGCUGUCCACAAAGCCUACUGAUCAGACAGAGCCUUGAGAUAAAUACUGGAAAAGAGGCUCCAAUGAAUUAAGAAGAAGGAUAUAAGAAGCUCCUUCAUCCCCUUGUGUGGACCCAAGGUAUUUUUAAGUGGCUUAAAAAUGGGAGGAGUGAUGCUAACAUGUGCUCCUUGUACCCAUUCUGUACCUCAUCACCUUUAUGCUUUUUCAUUGCAUGUGAAAAGAGAUCAUGCCACAUUGUUCAAAGGUUUUCACCGUCGAAAAGUUGCAUGCCCCUAAUUAUGAUCUGUACUCCAGCAUCAACCAGUGCUGCGCCCUUUGAAUCAACAAAUUCAAGACCGUUUCUAUAAUUAAGCUAGUUUCUUCCAUUGGUGGAAGAUUGAGGCUUUGGAUGUGAUUCAUUUACUUAAUGAAUUUCUUGAUGGGUUUCCCGUCUUUUUCUUUGUGUGUGUGUGUGUGGUAAGGGGGAAAAAAAAAAAA